UACGUAGGGUGCUAGCGUUGUCCGGAUUUAUUGGGCGUAAAGAGCUCGUAGGCGGUCUGUCGCGUCGGCUGUGAAAUCCCGAGGCUCAACCUCGGGUCUGCAGUCGAUACGGGCAAACUGGAGUACUGCAGGGGAGACUGGAAUUCCUGGUGUAGCGGUGAAAUGCGCAGAUAUCAGGAGGAACACCGGUGGCGAAGGCGGGUCUCUGGGCCGAUACUGACGCUGGAGGAGCGAAAGCGUGGGGAGCGAACAGG
rnacentral:rRNA from 1 species